GAAUCUACAGGUCGAGCAAGUCUCGUAAAUUUCACGAUUGCGAGCCACGCUUCACGCAACCGUGUUUGCGUACUUGUGUUUCGAGUUGCGUGGUCGUGCGGAGUUAUAUUUACCAAAUUUAAAUCCGUUCCAACAUGCUGUCAAAAUUAAAUCAAUAUGUCAAUAUGGCUACUGGGUGUAAAAGAUAAAUCUUAUUCUAUCUGUUCUUAAUGAGUUUUAGAUAAUUUUAGUUGUAUUUCUUUGUAAUUUUGUGUUGUACAAAGAUUAAUUUAACAUUUUCUCUGGAAGUAUUAAUUUAGAAAGAUAAUAUGCUUCAUUGGUGUUGUGUUUUGAAGUGUGAAAUGCAAAGUAAUUGUGAUAAAGUCAAGAUAAAGUUCACUUUUAAACUGAACUAAAUAAGGUAUCUGAGAGACAACAAUGGUUAAAUGCAAUACAAUGUACAGGUUUUACUAGCGAAAUGAAAAUUUUCCUGUCCUGUCUGCUGUAAUCAUUUUAUAUCUGGAAAACCAGCCGACUUAAUCGAUAAUAACAAUCUCCAGAUUGGGUUCCUUCAAUAAAUAUGGGCUAUAAACACAAUGAAAUUAGUUCCCCAAAAUCUAAAAUGGAGUGGUAUCAAAGGAGAAUUAAAGGAAAAAAUAUUCAUAUUGAAAUUAUUUAUAAGGCACUGGACUGUCUUAAAUUCUACAAUAAUACUAGAAUCAGCUGAGAGAAGUGGUCUACAAAAAACCAGGAAGGAAACGGAAUAUGUGGCUACGAAAGGCAAAAGAAAGGUUUACAAAGCAAAUGUGACACAUUUUUUUGAAAUAUUUAGGAAUAUCAGUAAAUUGCAUUAAAAAAAUGUAUGAAAAGAUUUUGUUCAAUAAAAAUGUUUAUAUUUAUCAAGGAUGUAUUAUUUGGUAUGGCCACAUAUCGUCAGUGAUGUAAUAAUACAUCCUAUCUGUUUUUUCAUGAGUUUUGUAAGAGAGACUAAAAACUUGUCUUAGGGUCACCUCCUGUUUUCAUAUGAUAUUUUUUGACUUGUUUUGUAGUAAAUUAAACUAUCUAUG
rnacentral:lncRNA from 1 species